rnacentral:rRNA from 1 species
UACGUAGGGUGCGAGCGUUAAUCGGAAUUAUUGGGCGUAAAGCGCGCGUAGGCGGUCCUUUAAGUCUGAUGUGAAAGCCCACGGCUCAACCGUGGAGGGUCAUUGGAAACUGGGGGACUUGAGUGCAGAAGAGGAAAGCGGAAUUCCACGUGUAGCGGUGAAAUGCGUAGAGAUGUGGAGGAACACCAGUGGCGAAGGCGGCUUUCUGGUCUGUAACUGACGCUGAGGCGCGAAAGCGUGGGGAGCAAACAGG